rnacentral:rRNA from 1 species
UCGAUAACGAACGAGACCUUAACCUGCUAAAUAGUUCUGCGAACCUGCGUUCGUAGCUAACUUCUUAGAGGGACUGACUACGUUUAGUGGUCGGAAGUUUGAGGCAAUAACAGGUCUGUGAUGCCCUUAGAUGUUCUGGGCUGCACGCGCGCUACACUGACAGAGGCAGCGAGUAUACAACCUUGACCGGAAGGUCUGGGCAAUCUUAUGAAACUCUGUCGUGCUGGGGAUAGAGCAUUGCAAUUAUUGCUCUUCAACGAGGAAUUCCUAGUAAGCGCAUGUCAUCAGCAUGCGUUGAUUACGUCCCUGCCCUUUGUACACACCGCCCGUCGCUAAUACCGAUUGAAUGGAUA